UCGAAAGGUGUGCUACUACCGCAUAAUCUCUGAGGAGAAAAGCAGGGGAUUCGCAAGGACCUUGCGCUUUGGAGCGGCCGAUGUCUGAUUAGCUAGUUGGUGAGGUAAAGGCUCACCAAGGCAUCGAUCAGUAGCUGGUCUGAGAGGACGACCAGCCACACUGGGACUGAGACACGGCCCAGACUCCUACGGGAGGCAGCAGUGGGGAGUUUUGGACAAUGGGGGCAACCCUGAUCCAGCCAUGCCGCGUGAGUGAAGAAGGCUUUCGGGUUGUAAAGCUCUUUCAGCCGGAACGAAACGGUCACGGCCAAUACCCGUGACUAAUGACGGUACCGGAAGAAGAAGCACCGGCUAACUAUGUGCCAGCAGCCGCGGUAAUACGUAGGGUGCGAGCGUUAAUCGGAAUUACUGGGCGUAAAGCGUGCGCAGGCGGUGUUGUAAGUCAGAUGUGAAAGCCCCGGGCUUAACCUGGGAACUGC
rnacentral:rRNA from 1 species